CAGCCCGGCUCCAUACUGACCUGCCGGUCCUGACUAUCUGACCAUUCACCCUGCCCUGUCACAUGACAGCUGCCACCUUCAUACCCAGGGUCACGAGUCAUUGCAUCUUGUGUUCUCCUACCUGGGGCUCCGCUGUAAGUUUCAGGAUCACAGCUUGCUGAUGAAAAUGCAUUUGUUGACAUUUGGAGACUGAAAACCUCUCCACGAGGAAAAUCUCAUCAUGAGCCCCUCACACAGUAGGUGACGAGUUCCUGCAGAGAGGUGAACGUUUUCCGAGGAGAGACGUAGAAUCCUCCAUUGUCCAGAGUACGGAUCUUGUAAUGCUUCACCAUGUUUCCAGACUGGCCGGUGUAGUCUCUGACAGAAAGUGAGUAACAGCCUGCAAAAAUAUCAGUAAAGGAGGUCACACAUCUCCAAAGUGACUCCAAUGGAUUUUGUCCAGUAGUGCAAGGAAAACAUGCAAAAAUCUCCCACAAUGCAAGAGAGCAUAGCAUGCAGAGCGGGCACUUAACUAGGAGCACUCUAGAUGUCAUACCCAAAACACGCACUCUCACUCACCUUUCAUGGUCUCACUGUCCCUUAUCAUGAAUGAUCCGGCCUGGUUUUCGGGGGACAACAGCUGCCGCUCAGCCUCUUUCCUGCCAACACCCUUGAAAUACCAUCUGCAAAAAGGAAACAUUUAGAGUGUGCCAUUCUGUCGACCAAUUGCUCCCCUGUGACAUGGGUGUUGAGUGGUUAAGAUGGCAGUGGGAGGCUUUUUGAAAACCUCUAGGCAUUCCUUCUCAUGGCAGGGUUUAACAGAUUGGUCAAAAAGCAAUAAAUUGCAAUACCCUAUGUGGACUAAAAGUAUAAGUGAAAAGGAAAUAAAGAUGAUUUGCUUCAGUGCUGUCUGCCGUUGGAAGAGGAUUGGAGAUAAAGGAUAAAGAGAUUAACAUCUGCAUUGCAUCUUCAGUCAUUAAUCAGCGCAGCCUUGGUGGUCGAUUUCGAUCUUGUGGUAUAAACAUAUUUUACACACAUAAAUGUCACCAGUAAUUUCUUCCUUCCCGUGCACCUGCCAUGGAAAAAAAGUUGUGGCUGAAUACAAGACACAAAAAUAGUUCUCAGAAAAGUCUCCUACAUUAUUAGGAUAUUAAGACUUUCUGUCAACGUGGUCCAACACCAGGGCACAGAGGGCAAAUUGAGCCAAACAUCUAAAGAAAAGAUCUAUGUUUGUUUAAACUCCAAUCUAUUUUAUGUAAGACAAUCUUUUUAGUUUUAUUUAAAUUUUUUCUUUCUCCCCGUCUGCCUGGAAAGGGAGAGACAGAUAGGUUUGGGGGUAAAGGUUAUUUUUAUCAUUUUGAAUUUGUCAGAGACUGGAAUUUAUGUAUAGAAAUUGUUUAUUUUGUAUU